AUUGAACGCUGGCGGCAGGCUUAACACAUGCAAGUCGAGCGGAGUGAUGGUGCUUGCACUAUCACUUAGCGGCGGACGGGUGAGUAAUGCUGAGGAAUCUGCCUAUUAGUGGGGGACAACAUCUCGAAAGGGAUGCUAAUACCGCAUACGUCCUACGGGAGAAAGCAGGGGAUCACUUGUGACCUUGCGCUAAUAGAUGAGCCUAAGUCGGAUUAGCUAGUUGGUGGGGUAAAGGCCUACCAAGGCGACGAUCUGUAGCGGGUCUGAGAGGAUGACACGCCGCACUGGGACUGAGACACGGCCCAGACUCCUACGGGAGGCAGCAGUGGGGAAUAUUGGACAAUGGGGGGAACCCUGAUCCAGCCAUGCCGCGUGUGUGAAGAAGGCCUUAUGGUUGUAAAGCACUUUAAGCGAGGAGGAGGCUCUUUUGGUUAAUACCCAAGAUGAGUGGACGUUACUCGCAGAAUAAGCACCGGCUAACUCUGUGCCAGCCGCCGCCGUAA
rnacentral:rRNA from 1 species